UGCAAGCACUCAGACACACGUAUGGAUGCAUGCAGGCUGUCAGACGGAGUGUGUAGGUUUUCUGAGAUGUGGCAGCGAGCGGGUGAGUUUUCACACUAAUGGUGGAGCGUCCUGCAUUUGGCACCUUUUUAACUUUGCAGCUCUCAGCUGGGAGAGACAGGCGAGAGGACAACAACAAAAGAGAUGAGGAAACACUAUCUGGACUAACUUUACAAGACUCCGUGUGAUGCACCAAGCUUGUGACAUGACGCUCUGGGCAGUCACAUGACGGUUCACCGCUGACUCGUCUCGCUUGAAGACAGCUGGAGGACAGAGUAUAGGUAAGCGUUGCAAGUCAUGUUUCGCUUUUUUUCUUCUCUUUAAAACCUUCCUCAUUGGUUUAAAACAUGUAUAAACUAUAAUAAAUGUUUUAACCAAUGGUUUAUAUUUACAUUUAUUUAUUUUAUUUUCUCGGGCUUUGAAUUUCGCUGCCACGUGCAACUUUUCUGCCAACGCAUUACAGGAUUGCUACUGUUCUCAGUAAUGCUUCAGUGUGUGGUACUCAAAACAUGGGCUAACACAAAAGGGAGUGCUGCACAGCUCUCAUGUACUCGGCCCUGUAACAUGGCUGGGAGGAUGUGGGACUGGUAUACCAGUAUCCUUCCUCACAUAAGGCAGAGGUGUAAACUGAUGAAAUGCCAGCCUGCCCUUCCACUUUGUCAAUGAUUCAUCCAUGGAGAGGAACAAAAACAUGCUGAAAGGAGUGUUAUUCACUUACGGACCUUGCAAGUGCCACCUGGACCUGCUACCCUGGGAAGUGGUUUGAGGAACUUCAGAGGGGAAAUGCCUGGCUGUCUGAGGCAGGACGGCCCCUGAACUGUGCUCCUCAAGCAGCCCUCUCAUCAGGCUGAUCCUGAAUUGCAGGGAAUCAGUGGAGUGCCCUAUCAAUAGUAAGGGGCCAGUAAGGACAUGACAACGGACCCAGAGAUCCCAAGUCCCUCGUAUUGGUGGAUGUCAGUGGUGGAUCCAGUGUAACCACUUUCCUUUCACUCCAGGUGGUGUUUUUGCCAGCUGUUCUGCGGAAUAGUGGUUUGUUUCCUGAUCUCCUAGGCAUUAGACCUCUGUGGGAGAUGCAGGUGGGGUCUGACUUUGAGGUCCAGGAGGGGUAAAAUUGCUGAUUGUUUACAUUGCAAUGCAGACUUCAGUGUCCAGAGCAUGUCAACAUAAUAUUUGUUUUCAUGUGAAUAAAACAUUACGUUUGAAAGGUGAUCGUUUUUCUCAGUUAUUUUUGCUGCUGUCAUAUGAUUUGCGCUGUAAACUUGUAUUCUAAUACCUCUGUGUUUAUUUGAAUGCCUGUUACAAACAUUUAUUUUAUCAUGUGUUUGAAAAGACUGAGCAGCUAUUUUAGCUAUUUUUGAAUUCUGUGUUUGUCUGAAUGUUCGUAACA